AGCGAACGCUGGCGGCAGGCCUAACACAUGCAAGUCGAACGGACCCUUCGGGGUUAGUGGCGGACGGGUGAGUAACACGUGGGAACGUGCCUUUAGGUUCGGAAUAGCUCCUGGAAACGGGUGGUAAUGCCGAAUGUGCCCUUCGGGGGAAAGAUUUAUCGCCUUUAGAGCGGCCCGCGUCUGAUUAGCUUGUUGGUGGGGUAAUGGCCCACCAAGGCUACGAUCAGUAGCUGGUCUGAGAGGAUGACCAGCCACAUUGGGACUGAGACACGGCCCAAACUCCUACGGGAGGCAGCAGUGGGGAAUCUUGCGCAAUGGGCGAAAGCCUGACGCAGCCAUGCCGCGUGUAUGAUGAAGGUCUUAGGAUUGUAAAAUACUUUCACCGGUGAAGAUGAUGACUGUAGCCGGAGAAGAAGCCCCGGCUAACUUCGUGCCAGCAGCCGCGGUAAUACGAAGGGGCUAGCGUUGCUCGGAAUUACUGGGCGUAAAGGAGCGUAGGCGGACAUUU
rnacentral:rRNA from 1 species